UACAUGGGGUGCAAACGUUGCUCGGAAUUAUUGGGCGUAAAGCGCACGUAGGUGGUCUGUUAUGUCAGAUGUGAAAGCCCUCGGCUUAACUGAGGAAGUGCACCUGAAACUGGCAGGCUUGAGUACGAAAGAGGGUCGCGGAAUUCCCGGUGUAGAGGUGAAAUUCGUAGAUAUCGGGAGGAACACCGGUGGCGAAGGCGGUCUUCUGGACGGUGACUGACGCUGAGGCGCGAAAGCGUGGGGAGCAAACAGG
rnacentral:rRNA from 1 species